rnacentral:rRNA from 1 species
GCCUCGAGCAUGAUUCUGGGGGUGGCCUUGGGUGCAGCAACGCUAGGACUCCGGAACGCAGGAGUUCAAGACCCAGCAGCU